rnacentral:rRNA from 1 species
GAUGAACGCUGGCGGCGUGCUUAACACAUGCAAGUCGAACGAAACACUUUAUUUGAUUUUCUUCGGAACUGAAGAUUUGGUGAUUGAGUGGCGGACGGGUGAGUAACGCGUGGGUAACCUGCCCUUUACAGGGGGAUAACAUUCAGAAAUGACUGCUAAUACCGCAUAAGACCACAGCACCGCAUGGGGCAGGGGUAAAAACUCCGGUGGUACAGGAUGGACCUGCGCCAGAUUAUCUGGUAGGUGCGUUAACGGCCCACCAAGGCGACGAUCAGUAGCCGGGAUGGGAGAGAGGACCGCCACAUUGGGGGUGGGACCCAGCCGGGACUCCUACGGGAGGGAGGAGUGCGGGAUGGUGCAAAGUGGGGGAAACCAUGAUGGAGCGACGCCGCGUGAGUGAAGAAGUAUGUCGGUAUGUAAAGCGCAAUCAGCAGGGAAGAAAAUGACGGUACCUGACUAAGAAGCCCCGGCUAACUACGUG